CUUGAGCUAUGAAACAUAAAAGUGAGUUUUAUCAUCACUCAUCGGAUACACAAGCCUCCAACACACUAAACAUAAACUUAUAGAGUCAAACAUGUCCCAAAAGUGAAGCGUAAAGUUAACACUCUCCUUAUUUCCCCUCACAUGUCUCGUUGAAUGGAGUUUAGCUUACAUUCUCUUAUCCCUCCAACAUGUCCUAGUGCCUCAACACCCAAAAUCAUUGUACAUAUAAGAGAGGACUCACAAUUCUAUAGCAUGCCAACUAU
rnacentral:lncRNA from 1 species